CUUGGUCAUUUAGAGGAAGUAAAAGUCGUAACAAGGUUUCCGUAGGUGAACCUGCGGAAGGAUCAUUAUCGAUUUUUAAAGAUGUGCUGGCACUCCUUCACCGGUUUGCAUGUGCACUCUGCAAAAUCUCCUUCUCUUACCCCACUGUGCACACCCAAGUAGACAAACAGAGUUACAGAGCAAUCUGUGUAAUUCCUGAUUUGCCUAUGUUUUUAUCAAACACCAAUAACAAUCUCAGAAUGAUCUAUAUAGUAAGCUUUUAACAAGCUGAAAUUUAAUACAACUUUCAACAAUGGAUCUCUUGGUUCUCGCAUCGAUGAAGAACGCAGCGAAUUGCGAUAUGUAAUGUGAAUUGCAGAAUUCAGUGAAUCAUCGAAUCUUUGAACGCACCUUGCACCCUCUGGCAUUCCGGAGGGUAUGCCUGUUUGAGUGUCAUUAAUCUCUCAACACAAGAAACUUUGUCUCCUUGUGCUUGGAUAUUGAAGGUUUUGCUGGCGCAAACAACUGUCAGCUCCUUUUAAAUGUAUUAGCAGAGCAGUAUAGGACUGGCCUCGGUUUGAUAGGAAACUUUAUCUAUGCUGUCGCUGGGUUUUCCUCUUUGUGCUCAGCUUCAAAUUGUCUUCGGACUGUCUCUUGAGGCAACAAAAUCUCUAUUGAUCGACCUCAAAUCAGGUAGGACUACCCGCUGAACUUAAGCAUAUCAAUAAGCGGAGGA
rnacentral:rRNA from 1 species